GACUCUUGGUAAUGGAUAUCUCGGCUCUUGCAUCAAUGAAGAACAUAAUGAAAUGCGAUACUUGGUGUGAGUUAUAGAAUCCCGUGAACCAUCGAGUCUUUGAACGUAAGUUGUGCCCUAGGCCAUUAGGCUGAGGGCACGCCUACCUAGGGGUCA